rnacentral:rRNA from 1 species
CUAGCGUUGCUCGGAAUUACUGGGCGUAAAGCGCACGUAGGCGGUCUUUUAAGUCGGGGGUGAAAUCCUGGAGCUCAACUCCAGAACUGCCUUCGAUACUGGAAGACUUGAGUCCGGGAGAGGUGAGUGGAACUGCGAGUGUAGAGGUGAAAUUCGUAGAUAUUCGCAAGAACACCAGUGGCGAAGGCGGCUCACUGGCCCGGUACUGACGCUGAGGUGCGAAAGCGUGGGGAGCAAACAGG